CCCCGUUGCGCACGGGCGCCGCGCCCUGCAGCAGCCGCCCGCUCGGGCCCCCGCCUUGCGCACGGGCGCCGCGGGGAUGGGCAGUCGGCGGGGCCCGGGCCAGCCGCGGGCCAGCCUCUGCCUGCUCCUGGGCGUGCUGCAGCUCCUGAGCGGCACGCAAGCCGCUGACCCUGUGGACGUGCUGAAGGCCGUGGGUGUGAAAGGGGGUCAGGCUGGGGCUCCCCAGGUGCCUGGCUUCUGCCCCCAGAGGGCUCCCGAGGGUGACCAGGCAUUCGGAGUGGACAAGACCAGCAUGCUUAGCGUCCCCACGAGGCAGCUUUUCCCAGACGGGCCUUUUCCUGAGCAAUUCUCUGUACUGAUGACGUUGAGGGCCCAACCAGCCAACCAGUCGGUUCUUCUGUCUGUGUACGAUGAGAUAGGAGUUCGGCAGCUAGGCCUGGCGCUGGGGCCGGCUCUUAGCUUCCUGGGAGGCUCCCUGGAGGCCUUCCCCCAGCAGGUGCAGCUCAUGGACGGCAGGUGGCACCGUGUGGCAGUCAGCGUCGACAGUGGGACGGUGACCCUGGUGGUCGACUGUGACCCUCAGGCCCCUGUGUUGCGCCGAGGGCUUCGAGGCAUCAGUACAGCUGGACUCACUGUGCUGGGGACCCAGGAGGUCGGGGAGGACGCUUUCGAGGGAGAGAUCCAGGAACUUCUCCUGAGCCCCGAUCCCCAAGCUGCCUUCCAGGCCUGUGAGCUCUACCUUCCCAGCUGCGACAAGCCGGAUCCCACAGCCGCAGGGGCACCCCAGGGUGAGCCAGAAGCGUCUGCUGCUCCUCGACGCAAAGCAAAGGGGAAAGGAAAGAAGAAAGGGAGGGGCCGCAAGGGGAAGGGCAGAAAGAAGAAGAACCAGGAGGCUGGGACCGCCAGUCCACCUCCUGGCGCCCUGGAGAACCAGGCGUCCACUGCAGUCCUCGAGACAGCGGCUCUGAAACUGCUUCCCACCCCAGCACCGCUGGUCCCUGCCACCACCACCAUCCCCACCGUGACUACCAGCCAAAACGUCAGCACCGCAGAGGAGAGCUUGGGGCCUGAGAGUGGACAUGAGCUGGGGACCCCAGGGACUGAGGCAGCCGAAGAUGAAGACGGCGAUGAGGAAAGUGAUCCCGGCAUGGGCCCUGACUUUGGGGCAGCAGAGCAGCCGACUCUGACGGAGUUUCAGAUCUUUCCUGGCGCUGGAGAGAAAGGAGCUAAAGGAGAACCUGCCGUGAUUGAGCAGGGACAGCAGUUUGAAGGGCCCCCCGGGGCUCCAGGACCCCGAGGGGUGGUUGGCCCCACAGGCCCCCCCGGACCCCCUGGAUUUCCUGGGGACCCUGGCUUGCCGGGCCCUGCUGGUCUCCCGGGAAUUCCUGGCAUGGAUGGCAUCCGUGGCCCACCGGGCACUGUCAUCAUGAUGCCGUUCCAGUUUGCAAGCAGCUCCCUCAAGGGACCCCAAGUCUCCUUCCAGCAGGCGCAGGCCCAGGCGGUGCUGCAGCAGGCUCAGCUGUCCAUGAAAGGGCCCCCUGGCCCAGUGGGGCUCACCGGGCGCCCAGGCCCUGUGGGUCUCCCUGGAUAUCCGGGCUUGAAAGGCGAGAUGGGAGAGAUGGGGCCACAGGGUCCCCGGGGGCUGCAGGGACCUCCCGGGCCGCCUGGCAGAGAAGGCAAGAUGGGCCGUUCUGGAGCAGACGGAGCGCGAGGCCUCCCUGGGGACACGGGCCCCAAGGGUGAUCGGGGCUUUGAUGGCCUCCCGGGGCUGCCUGGUGAGAAGGGCCAGAGGGGUGACUUUGGUCACGUGGGGCAGCCUGGCCCCCCUGGAGAGGACGGUGAGAAGGGCGCGGAAGGUCCUCCAGGCCCCACUGGCCAGGCUGGCGAGCCGGGUCCCCGAGGACUGAUUGGGCCCCGAGGCUCCCCUGGCCCCCCGGGACGCCCGGGGGCCACGGGAAGUGACGGUGCUCCCGGGGCCAAAGGCAAUGUGGGUCCUCCAGGAGAGCCUGGCCCUCCAGGACAACAGGGAAACCACGGGUCCCAGGGCAUCCCAGGCCCCCAGGGCCUCAUUGGCAUUCCUGGGGAGAAGGGUCUUCCUGGAAACCCAGGGAUCCCAGGUGCCCCGGGAGCUGACGGCCCUCUGGGUCACCCGGGCCAGGAGGGUCCCACAGGAGAGAAGGGGGCCCAGGGUCCAGCAGGGUCAGCAGGUCCCCCAGGCUACCCAGGCCCUCGGGGCGUGAAGGGCACUUCUGGCCAUCGGGGUGUCCAGGGAGACAAAGGCGAGCAGGGAGAGGAUGGCUUCCCAGGCUUCAAGGGCGACAGUGGCCUCAAGGGCGAUCGGGGGCAGCCCGGACCCCCAGGUCCUCGGGGAGAGGACGGUCCUGAGGGUCCAAAGGGGCCGGAGGGGCUGGCUGGUGAGGAGGGGCCCCCCGGUGCAGCUGGAGAGAAGGGCAAGCUGGGGGUGCCAGGUCUCCCAGGUUACCCCGGGCGUCCAGGCCCUAAGGGAUCCGUUGGAUUUCCUGGGCCCCUGGGACCACUGGGAGAGAAAGGGAAGCGGGGGAAGGCAGGGCAGCCGGGGGAGGAAGGAGAACGAGGACCACCGGGCUCCCGUGGGGAAAGAGGGCAGCCAGGAACGACAGGACAGCCAGGUCCCAAGGGUGACGUGGGCCAGGAUGGAGCCCCUGGUGUCCCUGGAGAGAAGGGUCUGCCUGGUUUGCAAGGCCCCCCAGGAUUUCCUGGGCCGAAGGGUCCUCCGGGCCCUCAGGGGAAAGACGGGCGCCCAGGGCACCCUGGACAGCGAGGAGAGCUGGGUUUCCAAGGGCAGACGGGCCCGCCUGGACCAGCUGGUGUUCUGGGGCCUCAGGGAAAGACAGGAGAAGUGGGCCCCCUAGGGGAGAGGGGUCCUCCGGGUCCCCCCGGACCACCUGGAGAUCAAGGUCUUCCGGGCCAGGAAGGCAGAGAAGGGGCCAAGGGAGAGCUGGGCCCACCAGGACCUCUGGGGAAAGAGGGACCAGCUGGUCCCAGGGGCUUCCCAGGCCCCCAAGGAGCCCCCGGAGAGCCAGGGCCUGUAGGCUUGAAGGGUGACAAAGGCCCUCCUGGCCCAGUUGGGGCCAAUGGUUCCCCUGGAGAGCGGGGUCCUUUGGGCCCAGCUGGAGGCAUUGGGCUCCCCGGGCAGAGCGGAAACCAAGGCCCCAUUGGGCCUGCUGGCGAGAAGGGAUCCCCGGGAGAGCGCGGCGCUCCCGGCCCCACUGGCAAGGAUGGCAUCCCAGGGCCCCUGGGACUUCCGGGCCCUUCUGGAGCUCCCGGGCCUUCUGGCGAGGAAGGGGACAAGGGGGAAGUGGGGCCCCCUGGCCACAAGGGAAGCAGAGGAGAGAAGGGUGAAGCGGGCCCCCCUGGACCAACAGGGAUUCGAGGUCCUGUGGGACAUCCGGGUUCCCCGGGAGCAGACGGGGCCCAGGGGCUUCGGGGACCCCCGGGCCUCUUUGGGCAGAAAGGAGAUGAUGGCGUCAGAGGCUUUGUGGGGGUCAUUGGUCCCCCUGGCCUACAGGGACUGCCGGGGCCUCCUGGAGAGAAAGGGGAAGUUGGAGAUGUGGGCUCCAUGGGUCCCCAUGGAGCACCAGGUCCUCGGGGUCCCCAUGGUCCCAGCGGAGCAGAGGGCCCCCCAGGGCUGCCUGGAGGAGUUGGUCAGCCUGGAGCCGUGGGUGAGAAGGGUGAGCCUGGGGCUGCUGGAGAUCCAGGGCCGGCAGGAGCCCCAGGGGUCCCGGGGCCCAAGGGAGACGUUGGUGAGAAGGGAGACACAGGCCCCUCUGGAGCUGCUGGACCACCUGGCAAGAGAGGCCCUCCUGGGGAGGACGGGGCUAAAGGAAGCUUGGGCCCUACAGGGCUCCCCGGAGACCUGGGACCCCCAGGAGACCCUGGAGUUUCGGGUGUAGACGGAGCCCCAGGAGAGAAGGGAGACCCCGGUGAUGUCGGAGCUCCGGGGCCGCCUGGUGCUUCUGGGGAACCCGGUGCUCGUGGGCCCCCUGGCAAGAGGGGUCCGCCGGGCCGUGGAGGUCCUGCAGGCAGAGAAGGGGAGAAAGGUGCUAAGGGGGAGCCGGGUCCUGACGGGCCUCCAGGGAGGACGGGUCCCCUGGGGGCUCAAGGGCCCCCUGGGCGAGUCGGGCCUGAGGGUCUUCGAGGGAUACCAGGACCCGUGGGUGAGCCUGGCCUUCUGGGAGCCCCUGGACAGACGGGCCCCCCUGGCCCCCUGGGACCCUCUGGCCUCCCCGGGCUGAAGGGAGAUGCGGGUCCCAAAGGGGAAAAGGGUCACAUUGGACUGAUUGGCCUCAUUGGUCCCCCUGGGGAGGCCGGAGAGAAGGGGGACCAGGGCUUGCCAGGUGUGCAAGGUCCUCCUGGCCCCAAGGGAGAACCUGGCCCUCCUGGUCUCAUCGGCGCUGUGGGUCACCCUGGGCUGCCAGGCGUGGUGGGCCCUCUGGGACAGAAGGGCUCCAAGGGGUCCCCGGGAUCCCCGGGUCUCCGAGGAGACACUGGACCUGCAGGACCCCCCGGCCCUCCGGGUCCCCCUGCGGAGGUGCACGGGCUGCGCCGGCGCCGUUCUGUCCCAGAGAAGCCAGAGGCCCUGGAGGGUGGUCUGGAGGAGGUACUGGCAUCUCUCACAUCUCUGAGCUUGGAGCUGGAACAGCUGCGGCACCCUCCCGGCACAGCUGAGCACCCCGGCCUCGUGUGCCAUGAGCUACAUCGCCACCACCCGCACCUGCCUGAUGGUGAGUACUGGAUUGACCCCAACCAGGGCAGCGUGCGGGACGCUCUCAGGGUGUUCUGCAACUUCACGGCGGGAGGCGAGACCUGCCUGAAUCCAGACAAGAAGUUUGAGAUGGUGAAACUGGCCUCUUGGUCCAAGGAGAAGCCUGGAGGCUGGUACAGCACCUUCCGCAGAGGAAAGAAGUUCUCCUACGUGGAUGCUGAUGGGGCCCCGGUGAAUGUGGUGCAACUGACCUUCCUGAAACUGCUGAGUGCCACUGCCCGCCAGACCUUCACCUACACCUGCCAGAACUCGGCUGCCUGGCUGGAUGAGGCCGCUGGCGACUACGGCCGAUCUGUCCGCUUCCUCGGGACCAACGGAGAGGAGCUGUCCUUCAACCAGACAGCAGCGGCCACCAUCAGUGUCCCUUAUGAUGGCUGUCAGCUCCGGAAGGGCCAGGCGAAGACCCUGUUGGAGCUCAGCUCUUCUCGAGUGGGCUUUCUGCCCCUGUGGGAUGUGGCAGCCGUGGACUUUGGCCAGACGAACCAGAAGUUUGGGUUUGAACUGGGCCCUGUCUGCUUUAACAGCUGAAGGUGGGAGGGGCUCUGAGAGAAGCCCAAUGCGGGACAUGACCAGUGCUGAGGCUGGGAAGCUGUCAUAUUUAUCGUCUCCUGGGAGGACUCCGGAGCCAGGAGACGGGACUUGGCUCCCCGUGGUCACAACAGUAUUCCUUCUCGCUCCCAAGAGAAUGAGGGUGAGAUGCCAUGGCUUGAGGGUGCAGCCUCUACCACUUGACCACAGGUGCUCCAGUAUCCCCCGCCUUGACCCCCCCAUCACAGGUGCUCCAGCCUUCCCUGGCUCCUCCCGGCCACAGGUGCUCACACUGUAGCCUGGCUAUCUGCUCCAUCACCACCCAACCUUUAGUUCCCCGCCCUAAGACGCCCCCCACCCCAACCCCAUACAACCACUUGCUAAUUCACAGCAAACCAAAGCCACUGCUCCACCACUCCCCCAACGCCCUUUGGUGCUACCUUUUCCCCAGAGUUAAGCACUGGAUAUCCCCAUCCCAGGCUGGGAGCCCUUCGCUCCUUCUUGUUCCCAGGUGGGGCCACGAUGAAGGGGCUGAUGUCAGAUUAGGGAGUGAAGGGGACCUUCCCUUGACCAAGCUUUGUGUUCCCUCUGCUCCCCUCCCCUACCACCCGUCACCCUAAGGUCGCUUUGCCGUGCCAGGCGGUUUAGGGACUAAGAUGGUGGGGGUGAAUCAGGAUCCUCAUGGUGCUGCCCUAUUUAUACCUGGGUCUCUAUUAAAAGGGAAAAUCGCCUCCCUCCCCCGUUGUGUAUUUAAUCCGCUCCCUCCAUCGGGAAGGCUGGCAUAUGAUGAGAGAAAUUCCGGCCCUCAACCCUCGGGCCACAGGGCACAAUUGGCAUCUCAAAUCUGAGAAUAAACCGGUGA